AUCAAUUACUGUAUUAUCUGUGUGGAACAGGAUGUCUUAAUUCGUGCUCGUGGGGAUAUGCAUGUAAUCCGUAAUUCUACGUUACAAAUGGAAAUAAACUGCAGCAGAGAGAGGUCGGGUGGCACAGUCAGGCUGGUGAAGCUCAUCAUCUUCCCAUCUACAUUCAGCUCACACAGCAAAUGGGACUUCUCCCGGGAAGCCCUGCCCCGUCGAACCCACCUGGAAUUAACUUGGAGGAUAUGGACACUCCCCAACACUGCAGCCUUCUGCAUGCCAACACUGCGUUCCUGGAGGAGAACCCGCCCGAACUGUUGUGUCAAACAGUAGUUCUAUGUCUGAAAUUCUGAUUUUAAAUCGCAUGUAACUCAGAAACCAGUGGUCCUGUUUUUGCUAAAAUGUUUAUGUGUUUGUUGACUAUAAUUGUUUAGCAUCCUCAUAUAUUGCAGAGUCUUAGUUAAAGUGAGUGAGUGAGUAUGGGUUUACCUCGCUUUUAGUAAUAUUCAAAGCUAGCUGCAAAAAGGUACACAUUUUGCAGAAAUUGACAGGCACUCCAUGAGCGAUGGCAGAGGAUUCCGGUGCUGAUUGAGGAGACUGGCAGAGUGUAUCCAUACGAGGGGUGACUAUACCAGGUGCGGAUGUUGUCGCCAGUGGUGGUUCAUACAUUCACAAGAAUCUUUCUUUGAGAACUGUGUGAAAACCAGAUUAACGUAGUCAUGGCCGCCAUACUUUCCGGCAUGUUAAUGUUCCGGCAUUAGCUAAGAUUGCAAUACAUUAUUACAAUUAUUUUGAUUUAAGUUUUGUUUUUCUUUUAAUCAGGGUGGAAUGUGUUAUAUUUUCAUAAAUUUUCUAUAAAAUGAAGUGGUGGAUGCUUGAUUAAUUCUCGUGUGUAUAUAGUCGGGAACUAUAUACUAUAUAACAGACGAGCAGAGAAUACGAGGUCCUCUGUUGUGAACUAAAAACAAAAAUUAAUUAUCCUGUUCAAAGGAAAAUAUAUUAUUGGUGAUUUCUUUGUUAUCAUGCUAUCCCUCGAAAAUGUUUCUGUUCGGUCGCUCGGCCUAAGCACGAUCAGGUCGAUAGUUCGCUCGAUGUAAAUCGUGGUGGAAACUAAAACACUCUGUCUAUAAUAUUCAUGUAUAGAACAGGAAAUAUGCUUUGAAAUUUUGGAGAUGGGCUGUUGAGGCGGUGUAUAUAGACAAGAGCGUUAAAUACGAUCGAUUGAUUCAUAUACGAGCUUCGGUGUAAAGUUUGACGUAUAUUUGGAGGAGUGGCUGCGGACAGAAUAGGUCUUAAUGUCUGAUUGAUGUUUCAAUAAACUUCCAUCUGUAUUUGAG